rnacentral:rRNA from 1 species
GACAACGGCUGGCGGCGUGGAUUAGGCAUGCAAGUCGAACGGUAGGAUACCUUCGGGUAUCUGAGAGUGGCGAACGGGUGAGUAACACGUAGGUGAUCUACCCUCAAGAUUGGGACAACCCAGGGAAACUUGGGCUAAUACCGGAUGAAAGCAGCAGUGAUGUUGUUUGAAAGGUGGCGUAAGCUGCCGUUUGGGGAUGAGCCUGCGCUCUAUUAGUUAGUUGGCGGGGUAAAGGCCCACCAAGGCGAUGAUAGAUAGGCGGCCUUAACGGGUGGUCGCCCACACUGGGAUUGAGAUACGGCCCAGACUCCUACGGGAGGCAGCAGUCGAGAAUAGUCUACAAUGGCCGAAAGGCUGAUAGUGCGACGCCGCGUGAACGAAGAAGCCCUUCGGGGUGUAAAGUUCUUUUAUAUGUGAGCAGUGCUUUCUAUGUGAACAGCAUGGGGAGAGAGAUAUUAGCAUAUGAAUAAGCAACGGCUAACUCCGUG